GCGGUCACUUCAGCAGCACAUAUACUAAAAUUGGAACAAUACAUGGAAGAUUAGCAUGGCUCCUGUGCAAGGAUGACACUCAAAUUUGUGAAGUUUUUAUUCUU